CUGAGAAAAGGAUAAAAGUACAAUGAACAGGUCUUCUCCAACGAUAGCUUUUGGUGAAAGGUGUGCGCUGCAGUCAACAUCCCUAGCGUUGCAAGUCAUUGCUACAGGCUUCUGCAAUGUUAGCGGUUACAUAAGGUACACUCAUGGCGAUUAGGACAAGCUUUGUGGACAGAUGUCCCAAAGAAGUAAUAAAUCAGCUCCUGGAUGACUUACUGUUGGAUGGCAUCAUCAAUGAUGGGGUGAAAGAAUCAAUACUGGAGGAGAACAAGAGCCGCGCGGACAAGGCUCGCGAUCUCAUUGAUGUAGUUCGUAAGAGAGGAGAUGUACCCAGCAUGGCGUUGAUCAAUCACCUUCAACAGAGAGAUCCUAUGCUCCACGCGCUGCUGCUGUAACUUUGAAGGGGAAAUGAUGUGUGUUCAUCCCAGCUGAUGGCGCCCUGCAGACUGAAGAAAUCUACAAUCAAAAUGAAUUAUCAUGAAUGGCUAUGUAGUGUUUUAAAUAAAUAUGGUCAGAUUUCAAAUAU